UAUCGCAAUUCGUGCAAAACGUUUGGUAUGAAAAUACGCUACGUCUUUGUAUAGCAAGACGUGAUGUGGUGGUGCCAGGCGCACAAAAUAGUUUCUUUUGUCAUUCUGCUCACAGUUUGGCGGCCAUUUGCAUCCAAGAAAACAAAAUACCUGCAGUGACUGGCUGCAGGGGUUUCCGUGUUACCGAUUCUGGUUUAGCUAUUAUCCCGACAUUAAUGGAUUUCUCCGUGAGUACAUGUUUUACACUGGGUGCGGAGAAUGGAGGAAUAAGCUGUAUGUCUACGAUCCGUGGAUGAAGACUUGCCAAGAAAUUCGGCGCUGUUCCAGGUGUGCUCGCGAAUGAGGACAUCCAAUUUUUCUGUUGACCUGGUUCUGCAAAAUUAUUCAUAUUACUCUGGAAUAUGUGCUUGAUAUGUUUCAUCGAUUGUCGAAAGUAAAAUGAAUUACCUUGUU